rnacentral:rRNA from 1 species
UACGUAGGGUGCGAGCGUUAAUCGGAAUUACUGGGCGUAAAGCGUGCGCAGGCGGUUUUGUAAGCCAGAUGUGAAAUCCCCGAGCUUAACUUGGGAACUGCAUUUGGGACUGCAAGGCUAGAGUACGGCAGAGGGGGGUAGAAUUCCUGGUGUAGCAGUGAAAUGCGUAGAUAUCAGGAGGAACACCAGUGGCGAAGGCGACACGCUGGGCCGUACCUGACACUGAUACGCGACAGCAUGGGGAGCGAACGGG